GACUCGAUGGCGGAUGGUCCGCACCUGCGAAUAGUAUGGGCAGAAUUGUACUUUUCCGCAGGAGGUGCCUGUUCGAAUCAGGCUCGAGUCG